UACGGAGGGUGCAAGCGUUAUCCGGAUUCACUGGGUUUAAAGGGUGCGUAGGUGGGCUGGUAAGUCAGUGGUGAAAUGUCCAGGCUUAACUUGGAAACUGCCAUUGAUACUAUCAGUCUUGAAUACCGUGGAGGUCAGCGGAAUAUGUCAUGUAGCGGUGAAAUGCUUAGAUAUGACAUAGAACACCAAUUGCGAAGGCAGCUGGCUACACGAAUAUUGACACUGAUGCACGAAAGCGUGGGGAUCAAACAGG
rnacentral:rRNA from 1 species